UACGUAGGGACCGAGCGUUGUCCGGAAUCAUUGGGCGUAAAGAGCGUGUAGGCGGCUAAAUAGGUCCGUUGUGAAAACUCGAGGCUCAACCUCGAGAUGCCGAUGGAAACCAUUUGGCUAGAGUCCGGAAGAGGAGAGUGGAAUUCCCGGUGUAGCGGUGAAAUGCGCAGAUAUCGGGAAGAACACCCGUGGCUAAGGCGGCCAGCUAGACCAGUUCUGACACUGAGGCGCGACAGCGUGGGGAGCAAACAGG
rnacentral:rRNA from 1 species